AUUUUUUUAAACGAAGUAAUAAGAGAAUCAAAAUUUAGGUACCACUUCUUAAAAGAAAAAAACUUAGAGACCUAAAUAGGAAAAAUUCUAUAAAUUGAGAGCCAAUUUUUAAUUUAAGCCAUAGUAUAAUAUUCUAUAACUAGUAACCAAAAAGGUAAACUUAUUUUCUUGGCUUAGUUCUUUUAUUGCCAUUUGUCAAAAUGUAUGUGACACGUGUACUGUUUUCCCCAAAUUUCAACAUUGCUAUUGUUUUUUUGACAGAAUUUUAGGC
rnacentral:lncRNA from 1 species